rnacentral:rRNA from 1 species
AACGAACGUUGGCGGCGUGGAUUAGGCAUGCAAGUCGCGGGAAUCCCAGCAAUGGGGGAACCGGCGUAAGGGGCAGUAAGGCAUGGGUAACGUACCCCCGGAUUUGGCAUAGCCCGUAGAAAUACGGGGUAAUUCCAAGCGCCGUGACGAGUGGGCAUCCAUUUGUCACGAAAGCUCCGGCGUCCAGGGAGCGGCCCAUGUAGUAUUAGCUUGUUGGUGAGGUAACGGCUCACCAAGGCAAAGAUGCUUAGCGGGUGUGAGAGCACGACCCGCGCCACUGGCACUGAGACACUGGCCAGACACCGACGGGUGGCUGCAGUCGAGGAUCUUCGGCAAUGGGCGCAAGCCUGACCGAGCGACGCCGCGUGGGCGAUGAAGGCCUUCGGGUUGUAAAGCCCUGUCGAGGGGGAGAAAAGAGCAAUCUUGAUCUAUCCCUGGAGGAAGCACGGGCUAAGUUCGUGCCAGCAGCCGCCGUAACAC